rnacentral:rRNA from 1 species
AUUGAACGCUGGCGGCAGGCCUAACACAUGCAAGUCGAACGAGUGGGGCACGGGUGAGUAAAGUGUGUGAAACUGCCCGUUGGAGGGGGGUAACUACUGGAGACGGUAGCUAAUACCGCACACCACCGGAAGUGCCCAGAUGGGGUUAGCUUGUAGGUGUGGUAACGGCUCACCAAGGCGACGAUCCCUAGCUGGUCUGAGAGGAUGACCAGCCACACUGGAACUGAGACACGGUCCAGACUCCUACGGGAGGCAGCAGUGGGGAAUAUUGCACAAUGGGCGCAAGCCUGAUGCAGCCAUGCCGCGUGUAUGAAGAAGGCCUUCGGGUUGUAAAGUACUUUCAGCGGGGAGGCGUUACCCGCAGAAGAAGCACCGGCUAACUCCGUGCCAGCAGCCGCGGUAAUUC